UACGUAGGGUGCGAGCGUUAAUCGGAAUUACUGGGCGUAAAGCGUGCGCAGGCGGGGGGUCAAGUCAGGCGUGAAAGCCCCGGGCUCAACCUGGGAACCGCGCUUGAGACUGGCACGCUCGAGUUCGGGAGAGGAUGGUGGAAUUCCCAGUGUAGAGGUGAAAUUCGUAGAUAUUGGGAAGAACACCGAUGGCGAAGGCAGCCAUCUGGACCGACACUGACGCUGAGGCGCGAAAGCGUGGGGAGCAAACAGG
rnacentral:rRNA from 1 species